CCGUUGUGCAGAUCUGGCUUCUGGACUUCCUUCUGCUGUCCAGCCCACCACUGCCCAGCUCCUCAAGAAAAAGGGCUCCAGGUCUGAAUCCUUCCCUCGGGGGCGGGAUGUGUGGCUGGACCUGAGGUCAGAAGCGCGGCUGAGGCUGCAGACGUGUGCACAGAGUAAAUGUGUUGAAAUACUUUACUGCACGUGUUCCCUUUAUACUCUCUUUUCACACUGAUUUCAGGCCUGCAGUCUUUGUGCAUCUUUGCUUACAGGAUUUUGCCGUAUUGUAAAUCAGAAUGACCCUGAAGUUUAAGCUAAGCCAGACUCUUAUGGAAGAAAAAGCUAGGUGUCAGAGGUGGUGGGGGUGGGGGAUGCGGGGAGAGGGCUUUUGGGAAGCGCUGGUCUAAAAAUCUUUCCAGACACAACCAUUUCUUACCUCCACCAUCACCACUCUGAUGGAGCCACUGUCACCUGUGACUUCUGUACCUGUUUUGUAUGGCUGCCAUGCCCCUCCCACCCACCUCCAGUCUACAGACAGAAAGGCACGUGGAUAGAUAGACAGAAGGAUAGAUAGAUAGACAGAGACACAUAGAUAGAUGAUAGAUAGAUAGAUAGAUAGAUAGAUAGAUAGAUAGAUAGAUAUGAUAGAUGAUAGAGACAGAUAGAUGAUAGAUAGAUGGAUGAUAGAUGAUAGAGGAUAGGUGAUAGAUGAUAGAUAGAUAGAUGAUAGAUAGCGACAGAUAGAUAGAUGAUAGAGACAGAUAGAGACAGAUAGAUGAUAGAUAGAUAGAGACAGAUAGAUAGAUGAUAGAUAGAUAGAUGAUAGAUGAUAGAGACAGAGACAGAUAGAUGAUAGAUGAUAGGUAGAUAGGUUAGAUAGAUAGAUAGGUGAUAGAUGAUAGGUAGAUAGGUAGAUAGAUAGAUGAUAGAUGAUAGAUGAUAGAUAGAUGAUAGAUGGAUAGAUAGACAGAAAGAUGAUGAUAUAGCUCUCCUUCUCCCGCUUUCUGUUCUGAGGUAGCAGGCCACACUCAGGAAUGCUGGAAUGUGGGUGUUUGGUGAAAGUGCUCUGUGAAUGAACAAUAUACAUGAGCUGUAUCUAUAUCCAGUCUAGUCUCAACACAGCAGCCAGAGGUUUCUUCCAAAAAUACAUGUCAGCUCAGACCCCUCUCAGCUCCCGUCUCUCCAGCAGGUCCCCAUCCAGCUAGGUCAGGAAAAGCCACCUUCACGAUGGCUAUGGAGGCCCCCAAGGAUGUCCCGCACUCACCCCCAGAAGCUUGAGUGUGAUGAGAGGCCGCCCUGAGGCACAUUGUUCUCUGGACAGUUGGCCUUAAACGAGGGAGGUUAUCCUGGUUUCUGGGGGAGCCCUGACAGCAGAGAGCGUCCUCUGGAUGCAGGCGGAAGAGGGUGGCAGAGAGGACUCGGCGUGAGGAGGACUCAGGGUGCCCUUGCUGGCUUUGAGAAGGCGGAUGCAGCCAGCCUUGAGCUGACAGCCCACAGGGGAGUGGGGCCUCUGUCCCUCAGCCACAGGGAGAAGUCCUCUAGCCCCCAGUGAGCCUGAAGCAUGUUCUUUCCUCGAGCCCCAGACAAGAGCACGGCCCACUGGCACCUUGACUUUGGCCUAUGAGAGCAGAGUACCCCGCUGAGCCAACCCUCUCCGACUGUGAUAAUACAUGGGUGUUGUUCAAGCUGCCACAUUGUCCGGGGGCUGUAAGAAAUGAAUACUGUGGUCUGCAAGUCCCCCUGACAGUCUCCCACCCUCCUCCCUGGUCCCUCAGACACCCUUGUUCCUCCCGUCAGAACCACAGGCCUCAUACUCCCUCUGCCAGAGGCCCUUCCCCAAAACAGAGGAGCGAGUGGAGCAGACAGCUGCCGGCUGGGUGUGUUCCAAGCCUCGGCGGAUGCUUCAGAAUAGAAGCGCCCACGCCGCUUUGCAAAGUGCGACUAACCUGGGGUUCCAGAGGUCGGCCCUUCUUUGUCCUGGUGGACGGCCUAAGGCCGAGGUGUCCGACCCGGGACCGAGUGUCCCUGUCACAGGAGACUGGCUGACACCUGCAUGCAGUUUAUUCCAGCCAAGACAGCCACGCCAAAGGACCACGCCGACGGGAGGAGAGAAAGGCAUCAUCACAUUUUAUGAAUGACAGAUGGCUUUUACCACACCUUUGCAUGAUCGCUUAUGGUAAUAGGACUGCGGUGCCCUGAGACGUGGGGAUCUGCGUGAGUGCCCCCGGCAAAGUCUGCUCUUCCGGCCUCGAAUCUGGAUCCCAGGAGCCCGUCCAUAUCCCUCAUCCAGCAAACUCCAUGGCCAUGCAGGGCUCCUCAGGACACUGCAGUUGUGCCCUGUUUAAAACAAUAACUGUUUCUCAAGUUUCUUGGAGUGAAGCCACCAUGACCUUUGCAACAGACGAAGCCUACACUUUUUCCAAGUGUGACUCAAAGGACAAAAGGUUCAUGCACAAGGCAGUUCUAAAAGUGGAUGGGUAAUUGCUGGUUCUGCUUCCUGUAAGGAUUUUGUAAGAUCACACCAAACCCACUCCCUUACAGAAAACAGCUUCAAAAUCUGUACACAAUGCAAACAGGCUGCUUGUGGGCGUUGGAGAGUGAACAGCAAGACGGACCUGGGGUGUACACGGGGGAUAAAGGAGUUGCAGGAAGCACGUUCUCUUUGACCGUGGCUGUUAGCCUGAGCACUAUGUAGUUAGGGCAUGAGGAGCUGGGGGUCCUCAGGGAAGACCACAGUCUUCAUGGCCUGGAACAGGAGCAGGACGAAAUUGGGGAAGCUGUGGCCAGUGGAGGGGGGGAGCGUCCAGAAGGGGAAACUUGGCGGACUCUACUCAUGUUUCCGACUGGCCCUGAACUGCACACACUCAAAGCAGAUAAAAGAAGCCCAGCUAAAGGCUGGUACAAAAUGACCUUCUUUAUAAUGCUGGUUGUGUUCAUUGUUCAAUAUUAAUAUAGCUGUUCCCGCUUUUUUUUUUUUUGACUAGUGUUAGUACAGUGUAUCUUUUAAAAUCCCAUUAGUUUUCAUGUAUUUGUGAAUUUAUAUUUAAAGUGGGUUUUGGGUAGGCAGCAAUUAGUUGGGUCUUGCUUUGUUAUUAAGUCUGACAAACUGCCACUGAAUUAGACCAAUGGUUAUAGAUCAUUUUCAUCUACCAUCACUGUUGAUAAUGGUUGGACUUAAACCACCAUCUUGCUAUUUGCAUUUUAUUUAUCCUGUCUACUUUUUGUUUCCUGUUCCUCUUAGCCAGCCUUCUUCUGGACUGGGUAUUUUUUAAUCAUCCCAUUUAAUCACUUCUGUUGGCUUAUUCCCCAUAACUCUGUCUGUACAUAUGUAUGUGUGCGUGUGUGUGUAUACAUUUUAGGGUUUAUAGUGUGCACCUUCAACUUAUCAUAAUCUAUCUUCAAAUAAUAUUACACUACAUCAUGAUGGUUUAAUAACCUUACAGCAGCACACUUCCAUUCCCUGCCCUCCUUCAUGUCCUUGUGGGCACAUAUUUUAUUUCUCUACAUGUUCUAUACCCAGCAAAACAUGCUUUUCCUUCCUGUGCUUCUAUCGGGUCUCCUAUAAUGUCAUUUUCCUCUUGUCCAAAGGACUUUCUUUAAUAUCUCUUAGUGCUUAUCUGCUGGUAUGAUUAAUAUUUUAGCUUUUAUAUGUCUGAAAAACUUGAUAUCUCACCCUGUUUCUACCUUUGUUGCCAGGUACAGAAUCACAAAUCAACAGGCUUUUCCCGGCAGUACUUUGCAGAGCUUGUUCCACUGUCCUCUAGCUCGCCUCAUUUUCAAGGAGAAACCUGUCGUCAUCCUUGUCUUUGUUCCUCUGUACCCAGCACGUCUCUUUUCUUCUGCCUGCUGUUAAGAUUGUCUCGUUCUUACCCAGUUUAAGCAGUUUGGUUAAGAUGUGCCUUCUUCGUACUUCAUACUUUUUGGACUGGGAUAUGUAGCUUUUAAAAAGCAAAUUUCAAAAGAUUUCAGUCAUUAUGUCCUCCUUUUUUUUCUGUUUUUUUUUCUUUGUUUUCUUUCUGGGACUCUAAAUGUAUGAAUUUUAGGCCAAUUGAAGUUGCCCCCCAAUUAGCUUUCUGCUCCUUUUGAAGGGGUCUAUUUUCUGUCUGUGUUUCACUUUGGAUGGUUUCUAUUAUAUACCUUUAAGUUCAUUAAUCUUUCCUUUUGUAGUGUCUGUCUAAUCUCAUCAUCUCAUCCAGUGAAUUUUCUUUAUCUCAGAAAUGGUUUCAUCUCUAAAAGUUAGAAUUGGGACUUUUUAAUGUUUUUCAUAUCUCUGCUUAACGUUAUCAUGUGGAAUAGAGUGAUAAUAACUACAGUUCAUCUGUGUCUAGGAAUGCCCUCAUCUGUGCCAUUUGUGAAUUAGUUUCAAUUUGUUGAUAUUCCUCAUUACAUGAUGUGUUUUCCUGCCUCUUUGCAUACUUGGUGAUUUUUUACUGUAUGCUAGACAUCAUGUACUUUUCCUUGUUAGAUCCUGGAUAGUUUUGCACUCCUAAAAUUAUUUUAAAACUUUUCAGGGAUGAAGUUACUUUACUUGGAAACAAUUUGAUAUAUUUGAGGCUUGAUUUUAAGCUUUUUUGGGUGGGGCCUAAAUUAGUCUAGGACUGAUUAUGCUCUACUACUGAGGUGAUACCAUGCUGAAAAAGCUUAAUAAGGAGAAAGAUCAAUCAAUAAAUAUUCACGUAUAUUCACAAAAUAUAAUGAGGAGAAAAAUCAAUCAGUAAAUAUUCACGUAACCCUAAAAAAAGUUAAGAAAUGAGAAACAAAGGGGGGAACUGGAGGGUAUGUAUAGAGAGCGAGGCAUAAAAUUACAGACCCAGACAUAACCAUGUCAAUACUUAUUUAAAUAUGAGUGGACCAAAGAUUUCAGGUAAAACGCAGAGGUUGUCAGAAUAGAUAUGAAAACAAGACCCACACACAUGCUGUCUUCCAAAAUUGCACUUGAAGAACAGAGACACAGGUAGCUUUAAAUGACAUUAAAGUUAAAGCAUAAACACUGGAAAGGGAGAAGAAGAACUGCCUCUUUAUGCAGAUAUCAUGAAUCAUGUAUGAGGAAGUAUCUUAAGAAACUUACAAACAACUAGCAUAGGCACUGAGAAAGCGUGGUCUACUCAUCAACCACAAACAGGAAUGAAGCCCUAACAUGCCACAAUAUGGAUGAACCUUGAAACUGAAAACAUGAUGAGUGAAAGAAGACGGACACAAAGGGCCGCAUGUUAUAUGAUUCCAGUUAUACGAAAUGGGCAGAUCUAAAGAGGCAGAACGCAGGUUAGUGGUGACAGGAGCUGGGGGAAGGGAGGAACAGAGAGUGACACCUCGAUUGAUGUGGUGUCUCCUUUCUUGGUGAUGCGAAUGUCCUGGGGCCGACAACGUGGUGAACGCACUGGAUGCCACUGAAUUGUGCACUUCAAAAUUGUGAAAAUAGUGAAUUUUAUAAUAUGUGAAUUUUACCACCAUAAAAACCAAACUAUUAGUACAAAUAAAAUUAGUUUAGCC
rnacentral:lncRNA from 1 species